rnacentral:rRNA from 1 species
CAGUAGCCGCGGUAAUACGUAGGGGGCAAGCGUUGUCCGGAAUUAUUGGGCGUAAAGCGCGCGCAGGCGGUUCUUUAAGUCUGGUGUAUAAGUGCGGGGCUCAACCCCGUGAGGCACUGGAAACUGGGGAACUUGAGUGCAGAAGAGGAGAGCGGAAUUCCACGUGUAGCGGUGAAAUGCGUAGAGAUGUGGAGGAACACCAGUGGCGAAGGCGGCUCUCUGGACUGUAACUGACGCUGAGGCGCGAAAGCGUGGGGAGCAAACAGGAUUAGAUACCCCUGUAGUCCCUGUCUCUUAUACA